rnacentral:rRNA from 1 species
UGAGGAAUAUUGGGCAAUGCCCGCAAGGGUGACCCAGCAACGCCGCGUGGAGGAUGAAUGUCGUAAGAUUGUAAACUCCUGUUAGAGGGGAAGAAUAGUACCGGUUGGACCGGUAUAUGACUGUACCCUCAGAGAAAGCCACGGCUAACUACGUGCCAUCAGCCGCGGUAAUACGUAGGGGGCAAGCGUUGUCCGGAUUUACUGGGUGUAAAGGGCGCGCAGGCGGGAUAAAAAGUCAGUGGUGAAAUCCUACAGCUUAACUGUAGAACUGCCUUUGAUAGUUUUAUUCUUGAGUUAGGGAGAGAGAGACGGAAUUCCAGGUGGAGUGGUGAAAUACGUAGAUAUCUGGAAGAACACCAGUUGCGAAGGCGGUCUCUUGGUCCGACACUGACGCUGAGGCGCGAAAGCGUGGGGAGCAAACA